rnacentral:rRNA from 1 species
GUGGGGAAUCUUAGACAAUGGGCGCAAGCCUGAUCUAGCCAUGCCGCGUGAGUGAUGAAGGCCCUAGGGUUGUAAAGCUCUUUCAGCUGGGAAGAUAAUGACGGUACCAGCAGAAGAAGCCCCGGCUAACUCCGUGCCAGCAGCCGCGGUAAUACGGAGGGGGCUAGCGUUGUUCGGAAUUACUGGGCGUAAAGCGCGCGUAGGCGGACUGAAAAGUUGGGGGUGAAAUCCCGGGGCUCAACCUCGGAACUGCCUUCAAAACUAUCAGUCUGGAGUUCGAGAGAGGUGGGUGGAAUUCCGAGUGUAGAGGUGAAAUUCGUAGAUAUUCGGAGGAACACCAGUGGCGAAGGCGGCUCACUGGCUCGAUACUGACGCUGAGGUGCGAAAGCGUGGGGAGCAAACAGGAUUAGAUACCCUUGUAGUCC